rnacentral:lncRNA from 1 species
CGUCCGAAAAAUACAUUUUUAUUUGAGGUAAUUUCAAAUAUGGUACAAUAUUUUGAAAAAUUAUGAUGGUCUGCAUGCUUUACAACACACAGUACCUCAUAACAGACAUAUGACCCUGAACCUCAGAUUGUGUUAUCUUCUUGUGAAUCAAAACAGUCGGAUUUUGACACAUAGGUAUCAGCAUUUCAGACAAAUGGAAACUGGAUGUAGAUAUAAGAAGAUAUGAUAUGAGUGCCAAUGAAAAAAAUCUCCAUCACAGUCAUAAUUUAGAAAUUUAAAGCCUUAUAGGUCAAAGUACGGUCUUCAACACGGAGCCUUUAUAGACUAGAUCUGUCCACUUAAC